CACGCCGUNAACGCUGAGUGCUAGGUGUUAGGUCCUUUCCGGGACUUAGUGCCGACGCUAACGCAUUAAGCACUCCGCCUGGGGAGUACGACCGCAAGGUUGAAACUCAAAGGAAUUGACGGGGGCCCGCACGAGCGGUGGAGCAUGUGGUUUAAUUCGAAGCAACGCGAAGAACCUUACCAGGUCUUGACAUCCCGAUGCCCGCUCUAGAGAUAGAGUUUUACUUUUUGUACAUCGGAGACAGGUGGUGCAUGGUUGUCGUCAGCUCGUGUCGUGAGAUGUUGGGUUAAGUCCCGCAACGAGCGCAACCCUUAUUGUUAGUUGCCAUCAUUAAGUUGGGCACUCUAGCGAGACUGCCGGUAAUAAACCGGAGGAAGGUGGGGAUGACGUCAAAUCAUCAUGCCCCUUAUGACCAGGGCUACACACGUGCUACAAUGGUUGGUACAACGAGUCGCAAGCCGGUGACGGCAAGCUAAUCUCUGAAAGCCAAUCUCAGUUCGGAUUGUAGGCUGCAACUCGCCUACAUGAAGUCGGAAUCGCUAGUAAUCGCGGAUCAGCACGCCGCGGUGAAUACGUUCCCGGGCCUUGUACACACCGCCCGUCACACCACGAGAGUUUGUAACACCCAAAGUCGGUGAGGUAACCAUUUAUGGGGC
rnacentral:rRNA from 1 species